CGCAUUACUGGUGGACAGAAGAGUGACUAUACUGGCCCAGGGCAGCAAGUGUUGUGAUGUCUAAACAAAACACCCUUCAGGACCAAGCACUAGUCAGAGCUGUUGGCCGGAAGGGAUCUGAUUAUAGCCUGGAGCAGCAAGAAUCCUGCUCGCCAUGCAAAACGGCGUUCGGACUCGACCAAAGGAACUAAAAUGUUACUCAGGCCUCUUUGCUGGAAGUAUGCUGAUUUUGGUCCAAAGCAGCAACUUUUCUGGACACUUGACAAAACGGGCUUCAGAGCCAACCACUACUCAGAUUUAUUGUCCGGGAAGAAGCUGAUUUCAACCCAAAGCAGGAAGCAUUCCGCUCACCAGGCAAGAUGGUGUUCAGACUCGACAACAGGAAGUAGGAUGGCCUACUUGGCGGUGAGGAGCAUUUUGGUCCAGAACAGCAACUACCCUUCUCGCUAGACAAAUUGGUCUUCGGUAUCUAGCACUACUCUGAAAUGUUGGCCGGGAAGGAGCUAAUUUUACCUUGGAGAAAUCAGCAUUCCACACACAAU